ACGGAAGGCAGCAGUGAGGAAUAUUGGUCAAUGGACGGAAGUCUGAACCAGCCAAGUCGCGUGAAGGAUGAAGGUAUUAUGUAUUGUAAACUUCUUUAGCAGUGGAGUAAUAAGGGGAUCGCGAUCCCUGAUGCAAGUACACUGAGAAUAAGGAUCGGCUAACUCCGUGCCAGCAGCCGCGGUAAUACGGAGGAUCCGAGCGUUAUCCGGAUUUAUUGGGUUUAAAGGGUGCGUAGGCGGGCUAUUAAGUCAGCGGUCAAAUCGUGUUGCUCAACAAUACUGAGCCGUUGAAACUGGUGGUCUUGAGUGUAAAUGAGGUAGGCGGAAUGUGACGUGUAGCGGUGAAAUGCUUAGAUAUGUCACAGAACCCCGAUUGCGAAGGCAGCUUACCAAGAUACAACUGACGCUGAGGCACGAAAGCGUGGGUAUCAAACAGGAUUAGAUACCCUGGUA
rnacentral:rRNA from 1 species